rnacentral:sRNA from 1 species
UGAUCUGUUACGACAGAAAAAACUCGUGC